AACUUCCACUCUUUCUU
rnacentral:sRNA from 1 species